rnacentral:rRNA from 1 species
GCCGGCAGGCUACACAUGCAGUCGAACGGUAACAGGAAGCAUGCUUGCUGCUUUGCUGACGAGUGGCGGACGGGUGAGUAAUGUCUGGGAAACUGCCUGAUGGAGGGGGAUAACUACUGGAAACGGUAGCUAAUACCGCAUAACGUCGCAAGACCAAAGAGGGGGACCUUCGGGCCUCUUGCCAUCGGAUGUGCCCAGAUGGGAUUAGCUAGUAGGUGGGGUAACGGCUCACCUAGGCGACGAUCCCUAGCUGGUCUGAGAGGAUGACCAGCCACACUGGAACUGAGACACGGUCCAGACUCCUACGGGAGGCAGCAGUGGGGAAUAUUGCACAAUGGGCGCAAGCCUGAUGCAGCCAUGCCGCGUGUAUGAAGAAGGCCUUCGGGUUGUAAAGUACUUUCAGCGGGGAGGAAGGGAGUAAAGUUAAUACCUUUGCUCAUUGACGUUACCCGCAGAAGAAGCACCGGCUAACUCCGUGCCAGCAGCCGCGGUAAUACGGAGGGUGCAAGCGUUAAUCGGAAUUACUGGGCGUAAAGCGCACGCAGGCGGUUUGUUAAGUCAGAUGUGAAAUCCCCGGGCUCAACCUGGGAACUGCAUCUGAUACUGGCAAGCUUGAGUCUCGUAGAGGGGGGUAGAAUUCCAGGUGUAGCGGUGAAAUGCGUAGAGAUCUGGAGGAAUACCGGUGGCGAAGGCGGCCCCCUGGACGAAGACUGACGCUCAGGUGCGAAAGCGUGGGGAGCAAACAGGAUUAGAUACCCUGGUAGUCCACGCCGUAAACGAUGUCGACUUGGAGGUUGUGCCCUUGAGGCGUGGCUUCCGGAGCUAACGCGUUAAGUCGACCGCCUGGGGAGUACGGCCGCAAGGUUAAAACUCAAAUGAAUUGACGGGGGCCCGCACAAGCGGUGGAGCAUGUGGUUUAAUUCGAUGCAACGCGAAGAACCUUACCUGGUCUUGACAUCCACGGAAGUUUUCAGAGAUGAGAAUGUGCCUUCGGGAACCGUGAGACAGGUGCUGCAUGGCUGUCGUCAGCUCGUGUUGUGAAAUGUUGGGUUAAGUCCCGCAACGAGCGCAACCCUUAUCCUUUGUUGCCAGCGGUCCGGCCGGGAACUCAAAGGAGACUGCCAGUGAUAAACUGGAGGAAGGUGGGGAUGACGUCAAGUCAUCAUGGCCCUUGCGACCAGGGCUACACACGUGCUACAAUGGCGCAUACAAAGAGAAGCGACCUCGCGAGAGCAAGCGGACCUCAUAAAGUGCGUCGUAGUCCGGAUUGGAGUCUGCAACUCGACUCCAUGAAGUCGGAAUCGGUAGUAAUCGUGGAUCAGAAUUACGCGGUGAAUACGUUCCCGGGCCUUGUACACCCCGCCCGUCACGCCAUGGGAGUGGGUGCAAAAGAAGUAGGUAGCUUAUCUCUUCGGAGACGCUACCAAC